rnacentral:rRNA from 1 species
GACGAACGCUGGCGGCGUGCUUAACACAUGCAAGUCGAACGGAAAGGCCCUGCUUUUGUGGGGUGCUCGAGUGGCGAACGGGUGAGUAACACGUGAGUAACCUGCCCUUGACUUUGGGAUAACUUCAGGAAACUGGGGCUAAUACCGGAUAGGAGCUCCUGCUGCAUGGUGGGGGUUGGAAAGUUUCGGCGGUUGGGGAUGGACUCGCGGCUUAUCAGCUUGUUGGUGGGGUAGUGGCUGACCAAGGCUUUGACGGGUAGCCGGCCUGAGAGGGUGACCGGCCCCAUUGGGCCUGAGGUACGGCCCAGACUCCUACGGGAGGCAGAAGUGGGGAAUAUUGCACAAUGGGCGGAAGCCUGAUGCAGCAACGCCGCGUGCGGGAUGACGGCCUUCGGGUUGUAAACCGCUUUCGCCUGUGACGAAGCGUGAGUGACGGUAAUGUGUAAAGAAGCACCGGCUAACUACGUG